rnacentral:rRNA from 1 species
UACGGGGGGGGCAAGCGUUGUUCGGAAUUACUGGGCGUAAAGGGCUCGUAGGUGGCCAACUAAGUCGGACGUGAAAUCCCUCGGCUUAACCGGGGAACUGCAUCCGAUACUGGAUGGCUUGAGUUCGGGAGAGGGAUGCGGAAUUCCAGGUGUAGCGGUGAAAUGCGUAGAUAUCUGGAGGAACACCGGUGGCGAAGGCGGCAUCCUGGACCGACACUGACGCUGAGGAGCGAAAGCAUGGGGAGCGAACAGG